rnacentral:other from 1 species
UAAGCCCUGCGAUGUUGGUGCGCCUCAAGGCCAAUAAGACCGACAACUAAACCAUCAGGAAGCCGGAUAAAGUUUGUCCGUGCUCGUGGGCCGGGCAACAGGUUUCCACCUUAAUUAAAUUAAGGGUUCUAAUUGGCUUAAGGACACGGCAUUGCGGGGUUUUU